rnacentral:rRNA from 1 species
AAUGAACGCUGGCGGCGUGCCUAACACAUGCAAGUCGAACGAGAAAGCGGGCUUCGGCCCGUUAGUAAAGUGGCAGACGGGUGAGUAACACGUGGGUAACCUGCCCGGAGGUGGGGGAUAACUCUUCGAAAGGGGAGCUAAUACCGCAUAACACCUCGAGAGCUUCGGCUUUCGAGAUCAAAGCUUGCCUCUACUCGUAAGCAAGCGCCACCGGAGGGGCCCGCGCCCCAUUAGCUUGUUGGUGAGGUAACGGCUCACCAAGGCUACGAUGGGUAGCCGGCCUGAGAGGGUGAUCGGCCACACUGGAACUGAGACACGGUCCAGACUCCUACGGGAGGCAGCAGUGAGGAAUUUUGCGCAAUGGGCGAAAGCCUGACGCAGCGACGCCGCGUGGAGGACGAAGGCCUUCGGGUCGUAAACUCCUGUCAAGCGGGACGAAUCCCUGGCGAAUGAAUAAGUCGCCAGGUUGACGGUACCGCUGGAGGAAGCCCCGGCUAACUCCGUG